rnacentral:misc_RNA from 1 species
UUUCCGUAGGUGAACCUGCGGAAGGAUCAUUAUCGAAAUACUUAUUUAGCGUUCCGUGCUAUCCCAUUGUUUUAUUUACCCUGUUGCUUCCACUGGAUGAGUUUCCAUACCUUGUGUUUGAGAAACUUUGGCUUGUGUAAGAUUCAUUCACGGCCAGCCAGUGAGAAGACCAUUUACAAAACCCUGUUAAGAACCAAUUGUCUGAAUAUUUUACUCCAAUGAAAUAAAACUUUCAACAACGGAUCUCUAGGCUCUUGCAUCGACGAAGAACGCAGC